UACGAAGGACCCGAGCGUUAUCCGGAUUUAUUGGGUUUAAAGGGUGCGUAGGCGGAACGGUAAGUCAGUGGUGAAAGCCUGUUGCUUAACAACAGAACUGCCAUCGAUACUGCCGAUCUUGAGUACAUAUGAUGUGGGCGGAAUGUGCCAUGUAGCGGUGAAAUGCUUAGAUAUGGCACAGAACACCGAUUGCGAAGGCAGCUCACAAAACUGUUACUGACGCUGAGGCACGAAAGCGUGGGGAUCAAACAGG
rnacentral:rRNA from 1 species